GAAUAUUCCAAAGCAUAUUCAAGGAAUAUUCUCUUAUCUUCUUCUAUAAAUAUCCUUUACCAGUUUAUUUCGCACGUACAAUCAUUUCGUCAGUUUCUCUGCACGAAUACCGAGAGAAGACGAACGGGUGUUCUUCGUGUUCUUCAUAUUCAAACGAGGAUUUGAAGGCGUUAUUGGAAUCCGAUGGAGGCGUAUAAAUAGUCAAAACGAAGCUCUCGACGCGUAGAAUCUAGUUUAAUCAACCGUAACACUGCAGAUUUCACGGGGUUUGGACGAGACGGAUACGAUCGAAGACGUUCAGAAGGUCAAACGAUGUUACAAAGCGAAUAAGGAACGAAUCGAGUAAACGAAGCAGUGUGGCGAAUAGAGUAUAGCCAAAGAUGGUCUAGAGACUAUGAUAUGCAUAGAGUGUGAAAGUGGAAAGAUGAGAUUGAGAUAUGAGACUGGAAUCGGAUUUAAGGCAAGUUUUCCUAAAUCCUUCCUCAUAUAUAUAUUGCAUGUUCUGAUUAUUCUGUCAAGAUUAUGAUAUUGUUUAUACUGAAACCCUUCUCAAAUAAACUCCUACUUCUGAGCAUGAAACCAUGAUUGUUUUCUUCUUCCAAGUUUUGAAAAGCUAAACACCUAAUUACUCUCAAUUUCUAUUCUGAUCCAUUCUUUCCAAUCCUCAAGAUAUUAAAAAUACCAGCUUUACAAAUUAAUUCGAAGUUCAGACCGUCAUUGAAGCAUGUGUUGCUCAGUGAUAGUCAGAAUCUAGAAUGAACUGGGAUCUUCUUGAUUAUUCAACCCGCCAUUGUCAUGCUGGUUUAGCAGGCUAAAUUCAGUUGUUUAGCCGAUAAUGGAGGAUACUGAAUAGUUAGGAAUUUCCUGAACUAUGAUUUAUCAAAAGACAGGCUGUGGUUUAUGAAAUGUUGAUUCCCAAAAGUUGAUUUGAAAUAUUUCUGUUGUUGAUAAUGAUUAUGAUUCUGUUCUGCUGAUUGAAUUGUCUAUUGAUUUCAAUUGUUAGAAUUGGAUUAGUUUUUAUAAAAUAUGUGGACCAGAUUCGUGGUCAGACCAGAUUCGUGGUCAAUUAUAGGCCAAUGUGUGCCUUGGAUCCAGUAUAGAGAACAGGGUUGUGUGCCAUGUUCGGGGUUAGUGCGUGACUGAUCAGCAGCCUAACCUUUGGUUUUUAAGUAAAAAUGUGAUGAAUCCAAUUCGACAAUUCUUCUAAAAGCUUAAAGAUGAAUUGCAUGAUUGAGAUUGCGAGUAUGGCUAAGGCUAGGCGAGGAGUCAGAGUAUAGAGUAUCCAGAGGACAAGUGGAAUGUCCAGGGAGAUUGUCAAGGUUGGUUCUAGAUAGAAUUGUAUUAAUGAGAUUCAGUUGUAAGUCAUAAUUGGAAUAGAUUACAGUGAUUCUUCUUAUCGAAGAUGAUCUGAGGUUGUAAGAUAAUGUUUAUUAAUAGUGGUUGAUUCUAA